rnacentral:misc_RNA from 1 species
UCUCCGUUGGUGAACCAGCGGAGGGAUCAUUACUGGAAUCGCAAGAUCCCACAACCCUGUGAACCUACCGAAACGUUGCCUCGGCGGGCGCCCGGCCUCUGCGCCCGGCGCUGCGCCCGCCGGCGGCCCCCUACUCUGUCUCUGCAGCGUGGCAUCUCAGAGUCCCAGAAAACAAGUCAAAACUUUCAACAACGGAUCUCUUGGCUCUA